CGGGGUGCACCAGGCGCGAAAACUUUGCAAUACACGAAAGUGUGACAGGGUCAUCCCGAGUGCCGACCGCUGAGGUUGGCUUUUACCCAGUCUAGAAAGCUGGGGGAAUAUGGAGAGGGCAAGUCUGGUGUCAGCCGCCGCGGUAAUACCAGCUCUCCGAGUGGUGUGGACGUUUAUUGGGCCUAAAGCAUCCGUAGCUGGCUGAACAAGUCCCCUGUUAAACCCACCGGUUUAAUCGUUGGUCUGCGGGGGAUACUGCUCGGCUAGGGGACGAGAGAGGCAGACGGUAUUCCCGGGGUAGGGGUGAAAUCCUAUAAUCCCGAGAAGACCGCCAGUGGCGAAGGCUGUCUGCUAGAACGCGCCCGACGGUGAGGGAUGAAAGCUGGGGGAGCGAACCGGAUUAGAUACCCGGGUAGUCCCAGCUGUAAACGAUGCAGACUAGGUGUUUGGACGGCCACGUGCCGUUCUAGUGCCGCAGGGAAGCUGUUAAGUCUGCCGCCUGGGGAGUACGAUCGCAAGAUUGAAACUUAAAGGAAUGG
rnacentral:rRNA from 1 species